UUCCUCCUCGUUAACCUCCAUUCUGGAGUUUUGGUUAAAAUGGUGGAGUUAUUGCUUAUGGUAUUGUGACUUUAGUGUUUAACCUGUUAGUUGACUGCUCUGUGGGUAUAAUGUGGUAGAGGUUUGUGGUUAAUGUAUGUUGGGAUUUGGGCUUAACUGCAUAAAUCUGUACUGGUUUUCCUAGCUUCUUGGAUUUACUAGGCUUUUGAGGACCAGGAUGAUGAGAGACGUGCCACUUCUGGUUAGGAUGGCAACAACCACACUGUUGCGGUCAUGUACGAGGCAAUUGCAGCUUUCCGCUCAAAGCUAAACCAUUUGGAGAGAGACAUCCACGGGAGAAAGUUGCACUUUCCACGUCUGCAGGAACAUUGCGAGAAGAACGAAAUGCGGGAGGAUCCAGUGAUGAAGGAUUUCAUGGUAAGCCUGGCAGAAAAUUUCAGGGAACGAUUUGAAAGGUCCACUGAACUCUCAGGUGGCAUCCUCCUCUUCCUGAGACAGCCGUUCUCCGUUUCGGCUGACGGCCAGUGGACUGCAGAGGCCAAAAGGCUGGUGCCUUCCAUGGAUGAGGCAACUCUUCAGAUGGAGGUCUUGGGAAUGGGAAGAUCUGAUUUGCUCAAAGCACAACACAAGGACGUUGGGGUGAGUGACUAUUGGAUCAACGUGGUUCCCCCUCAAUUCAAAAACACAAGAGCUAUUGCAGCACUCCUACUCACACUGUUUGCCUACACGUACAUAUGUGAGUCAUCAUUUUCUUCAAUUAACUCUAUCAAGAACCAGGACAGAAACAGACUCUCCAAUGCACAUCUCGGCCAGUGCCUCAGGAUUGCCACAAUAGAAUACAGGCCCGACAUCAGAAAGAUUGCCUCAUUCCAUUGCUGUCACUUCUCUCACUGAUUGAAACAGUGGAAAAGGCAGUACUGUGGGGACCCACUUUCCUGCUCACUCGAACUGGUUCACAAAAUGGAGCGCACCGACAGAGAGGCCGGCCUCAAAAAAGGCACCAGGAUUUCUUCACCAGCGAGGGGAAAAGCCCGCGCGUGGGAAGGGACUGUGAAUAUGCGCCCCUUACAGCAUAUCCGCCCGGGGAGGGCGGAAACGGGAAGGCUUAAAAGCGAGGCCGUGAAUUUUGAAUAAAUCUAUUUUACGCAACUGCAACUCACCGUCUGCGUGUCAUUAUUCCAGCGCUGUGUGUAGCA